rnacentral:lncRNA from 1 species
UCAUAACCACUCAAGUAUAUAUAUUUAUAUUCAUAAAACUCAGAUAGUAUAGCUGUAAAAGUGUAUUACAAAUCUUUGGAAAAAAUAUAGGGAGACCAUGCUAUGCUAAGCUAUACAGUUGGACCAACACAAAAAUAUCUCUGGGUCAACCAGAACAGCAAGACACAUGGACCACCACCCUCACGUGCACCAUAUUAAUAGUCAGUUGGUCAACAGUAUAGUCUAUGUAUGGGCUUCAACCUUCAGCCAAUUAGAAGCUAGCACCUGUGAGAACAAUGGAGAAGGGGAUGGGCAGCCAUACCCGCCAAGGGAGGUGGAUAUCAGAUAUUAGAUGACUAGGAGAGCAGAGUAGGCAACUGCCAAGUUUCACUCGUCUCAGCUCUACCCAAAAUAGCCAGACCAAGCUCUCUUCUUCCCAGCAACACUAGCAUUCCCCUGUCCAAAACCAACAAAGAUACAAGAACAAUAAGUGAAGAUGGUGACAUGAGAAAUCAUCAGUAGACUGAAGGGGAUAGGCUAGAGCAAGAAGCUAGCCUACUGGACUAGGGUCUGGAGCGCAAGAGCAGCAAGAGUAGGGACAACAUAGAGAGCAGCAGAAGAAAGGUGAGUUCUUCCUCUUCUGCCAGUUCUUAGUACUCACAUACACAAAGAGGCCUAACCCAGAUGCACACACAAUAUUCCUCAAUGGAUUUUCACAUAUGCACAUAAAAGAUAAGCAAUCACAGUAGCAUCACAUCUCAGUUUUAGGAAAUAAAAGUAUGAGGAAGAAAGGGGAUACAGCCUCAAAUAACUCAAAUAAAUGGAUCAGGUUAUUGUACAGUAUCACUACACCAAAAUCUUGAACAGGGAGUGAUGAACUUGUUCAACACACGCAUGUGAGCCAAGUUAAUUUACUAAAUCUAAGAACUUGAGCAUAAAAAAAAUUAGGGAGAGGAACAAGGCAUCACUAACCUGCACAAAUGUUCGAUCCGCUCCAUGGCCACGCACUGGAGCUCUGACCUGCACCAUCCAGCAUCACGGCGGCGCCCAACACCGGCGACUUCGAUCUGGAGCGGGGGAAUCACAUCCCCAAUAGGGUUUGACCUGCAAGUCAAGAAAAGAAAACACACAGGGGGGAUUAGAGAGUUUGUGAUAGAAAUCCAUGGAGGAAAAUUGGGGAUUAACACUAGGGAAGAAGCAGAGUUGUGGAUCCAGCAGCGGCAGCUUCCCUAUCGCCGGCGGCAUGGCCGAUAUGGCUGGAUUAGGAGCAGAGGGAUAGGAGGGAGAGGAGUCUUGUACGUGUGUUCUUGUUGGACUUGGACUAGUACCAGUCUGUAUUUUCUUCGGUUGAGAAGUACUAGUACUCCAGUGCAAAAUAGUACAUGAGAGAGAGAGAGAUUUAGAGAAAGGGAGGGCACGUGGAGGAUAAAUUAGCUUAGUAACUUACCCAGGUGCACACCUAGUACACGUACUAAUGCAAGCUUAGUAAAAAGACAUUAGAAAAAAAGUAAUAUUUGACUAUAGGAUGACCACACUACACCGACGUAUAUUUUUAUUUCCCUAGUAUUCACUCGACUUAGUCUCGAAAUAUAUAUUUGCCGAACUGCAGGAAGCGAGUACAGUCAGGAGAAGGAGGCGCUACAGAAGCAAAUUGAGUCCGGGUCUGAGUACGAGAACUCAGGCAAGCUCUUCUUGAUCAUGCUGAGUAGAACUAUUUAAAAAAAAUUCUAUGAUGUAUCUUAUCAUCAACUUGCAUAAAAUGUUUUUGAGAUAAGUUGUGUGGAGUGAGUGUUGGUAAAUAGUUGGGUUAGCUGAUGGAGCAGCUAAUCAAUUUUUUUAUAUAAUUAUUUGGUGGGUAGAGGGUGCCCGAAAUGGACAUAUUGGGAGGUGGGGCCCUCUACAUAUGGCUAUGAAAUUAAUAUUAAAAAAAUUCACUCGUUUUAUGCGCCGUACUACAACCGUAUCAACCAUGGUCUCGUCUGAAGACGAGUUGAGCCCAAUACCAUCAAGUUAUUAUACUCUCCACAUGGGUAAGUAGUAGUAGGAUGGGCGAUGAGUUCCCAUGCUAAUGCCGGAUGGGUGCAUUAGCAAGCGCUAUAUAUUAAGCGUUGGUGGAGUGCGGGUUCCGAAACCUGACACAACGGCUAGUGACCACUAGCCGGGUGGAGAUAUAAUAUACAAAUGGGAAAAAGCUUAGGUUCUAAACCAUGUCUCGCAUCUAAGGAAAUGCAUAUGGCAAUUAUGGUUUCGAGCUCUAUGGGUAAAGUGAUACAAACUCUGCAGAGUUAAAGUAAAACAUGAAUUCAUGCCAGUCUCUUGGACUGGGGAUUAUGGGGACCUAUUGGUGGUCUAUCUCGCAAUACGAGUGUUUGAUAGCUUUUAUAAAUUGAAAUAAACUUUCUGUAACAAAUGUUUAUUUUGAAAGGUGUUGAGUUGAGGUAGGACUUGUUGAUUUAUAUUGAGCUAUCAUGAGUGUUGCAUUUUGCUAUUUGAGCUUGCUGUGUACUUUGUACUCACUCUUGCUAUUAAUCAUCUCCUUCUUAGAGCAAAGCUUGUAUGAUAAUCCUGCUGGACCAAGUGAGGAGAGCAAUGGUGAUGGCUACAACUACACAGGACCUAGAUGUGGAUCCAUCUAGUGCUAUGUACGAUCUGGAUGCUACAUAUGGGGGUUGGGAGGAAUAACUAAUGAUCUAGCUAUGUAAUCCAGGAACCAUUCUACCACCACCUAUCUAGUACUGCUAGUUGGAACUCCAGAGUUAGGAGAUGUAAUAAUUGGGUGAACAUAUGAGAAGCCUACUUGAGACUUUUAGCCCUGCGUGGCAUGGUAUUGAAAUAUAAUUUACCAUCUCUAGCUAUUCCCUGUUGCAAAUCUCUGACAUGGAUUAUUAUUUGACAAAACAAGAUUUUGUCAAGAAAUAAUCCAAGGACUAGUGUCAUUAUCUAUAAUAAUAAUGACACGGGUCGUCACAGGUGGUAUCAGAGCCAAGUUUCGAGGGCCACACGAUAGUUAGAGACGGUAGGAAUACUUUAAUUGGAACCCAUACUUGCUAUAUUGCACUACCAAUAAAUCCUACAUCAUAAUUAUUCUGUCCAGUAACUUUAGAUGACUACCAUGCUAAUUAGUAGCCUGUUGCAGGAUGGUUCGAAUUAGAAUUCCACCAUCGAGGGUUCGUGGCCAGCAUGUCCUACUACUUUGGCAAAUGAUGCAGGAUCUUGGGGCACCAUGUCCUCAAUUCUUUGAAGAGAUGCCAGAUGAUGGAACACACUCCUACAGGCGUGUAGUUGUGGUGCUUAGCGGUGUUCCAUCAGACAGGGACUUCUAUGUGGAGCUCUCCACAAUGCAGCGGUCAUCCGAUGAGACUCUACCCAUGUAGGAGGUUGCCAAGGAAGCUAUGCUUGGACUACGAGCACGCUUUGGAGAGAAACUGCGCACCACCGGAUACGGUGACUUGCCAGCACUUGAUUCUGGGGGUUUUGGGCAGAACCAUCAGCAAGGACCUAGAGGAGCAAGCCUUGGUGUUGGGUCUUCAUCAGCUCAGCCUACACCUGUCGCUUCAACAGUUAGCACCACUUCUAGUAUGACAAUGAUUGCUGAUACGAUGAUGUAUCAUGCAAUGAAGGAGGAGCUUAUUAGACACCAGGAAGCAACCCAAUUCUAGUAUCAAUGCUAUCAGAUGAGCGAACAUGAUAGGAUUGUGCUUCAGGGAGCACUAAAUGCUAUGCCUGGAGGUCCUCUUAAUCCUAUAAUAGUACCAGGUGAUGUUCAAGAGGAAGAAGGGAGGAUCCAGAGGAAGUAGAACUAGAGGAACAGGAAGAAGUUGAGGGAGUAGAGAACCCAAAUGAGCCACUAGUUCCACCCUCACCAAACGUACUACCUGCACCACCCCAGCCGCUACCUGAACAUAUAGUUGAACUAGAACCCGCCCUACAGCCAGAUAUAGAGCAGCAGCAGCUACCCCACUUCCCUAUUCCACGACCACACCAACCUGACUUUAUCCACCCACACAUGAGUGUCAGCUCGAGGGAGUACAGGGAGGCUGCUACCUAUGCAAGGGUACUUGGGCUUGGCGCGAGUGGCAGUGGCGGAAGCAAUGGAAGUGGCAGCGGUAGCAACAAUGACGGUGGCAAUGGCAUCGCCUAAUCAAGUUCCUAUCUUCCAGACUCUUAGGCGUGGGACGCCUUGGCCAUAGACUAGUCUUUUGGGAUCAGUAGUAGUUAGUGUAGUGGCAGCCUGAAUAUGUGUGUUUAUGUAAGAUAUGUGUGAACUGCAAGGCAGAGUUUGUCCCCUAUGUACUAGUAGGAACUGAACCCUAUGUGGUGUGUGCUCUAGUUGUAAUGCAGUUAUGCCCUUAAGCAAGACUUAUGUGAUGUACUGAUUGUAAUAUAAGUGCUUGUUCUGUAGUAUAUAACUUGUGUGGAUUAGGAGGCUCAUAGUACCUUACUAUUGUGUGCUUUAGUGAGUAAUCAGAGUGGUAUCAUUCUGGUUAGCAAGAGGCAUGUGCCACCAUGAUUGCACUUCAUGUUGGGUUACUGCAAAUUUAAGGACAUCAUGCUAUUUAUUGGUAUCACUUGCACUUGUGCUUGCUGAUUUGAAUCAGUAAUCAUGCAAAGAAGUAACCAACUAACUAGAAGAAAAAAAUGCAGGAUGAAUAACAAUGGUUUGACUGAGCAAGACCUUGUCUUUCGUUUGGGAUCAAGCGCCCAUGAUCAGCAUGGGGGUACUCCAGUUUCAGAAAAUCAAAGUGCCCUACCCGGAGCGGCGCAACUUCCAAGCAAUCCAGAAGUGGGCAAUGCUGGAACUUCUGGACUUAUGGGUGGAGAAGGCAAUCUGGGAGAUGUCCUUAAGUUCAUGGGGAAUUCUCGAAGGGAGUCCCAAGAGAACCAGAACCGCUUCCUCGAAGUGAUACUGACAAGACUAGUUCCUGGAGGAGCACACCUACCCGGUGCAGGAGUUAGCUUGGGAGAAUUUUUGAAAACUCAGCCACCCACAUUCUCCAAGGCGGUGGAUCCACUAGAGGCAGAUGACUGGCUGUUAGAAGUAGAACACAAUCUGGAAACCGUGGGGUGCUCAGAUGAAGAGAAAGUGAGAUAUGCAUCGCACCAGCUAACCGGACCAGCAGCAGCUUGGUGGAGAAAUAUCAGCCUUAACCGAGCAAAUAAUCAGCCUAUCACUUGGGAGGAGUUCAAGGAGAAUUUCUGUCAGACCCAUAUUCCAAAGGGAAAGAUGGAUAUGAAAAAGAGGAAGUUUCGCAAUCUGACUCAAGGUAGCAAGAGGAUAAAUGACUACCUAAACCAAUUUAAUGAUAUGGCAAGGUAUGCUCCAGAUGAUGUGAACACUGAAGCCAAGAAAGUAGAGAAGUUUAUGGAGGGGCUGCAUCCAUUCCUGAAAAUGCACCUCUCGAUUCACGGAAUCACCCAGUUUCAAGACCUUGUCAAUAGGGCCUUCAUACUUGAGAAUGAGCAUGCCAACCUAAGUGAAGAGAGAAGGAAGAAAGCAAGGGUAGAUCCACGCCCCAUGAUGCAUCACCCACGUCCUAUGAUGCCUGGACUAGUGUGUCCUCAUAUGCCACCACCACGGCCUAGAUUUCCUACUCAGCCAACCUUUGUUCCUAGAUGUGGGAAGUGUGGAAAAGGUCAUGCUACUCAAGAUUGUAUGACGGGUACAGGACUUUGCUUCAAUUGUGGGAGACCAGGACACCACAAGCUCAAUUGCACCUCUCCUCCCACGAAUCUUACAAGGCCACCUAUACCGCAGACUCAAAUGCAUCAUCCACCAGCUGGGCGAGGACAAGGUGGACCUAUGAACUAUGCAGCAAGAGGAGUUGGGCGGGGAGGACAAGUAGGAGGACAGCCAAGGCUGAAUUAUGUGGCUGCAGAGCAACUAGGAGACGCUACAGAUGUUGUCAUCGGUAAACUACUCAUUCCUCCUUCAGUUGGUAUAGUUCUUUUUGAUACCGGUGCCACACACUCAUUUAUUUCACAAGAUUUCAUGAAUAAGAAUGGAUUAACAUGCACACCAUUGGAAAAAGCUUUAGGAGUUAACUCACCUGGAGGGAAGAUUACAGUAGAGGCCAUGCGCAGAAAUCAACCAAUAAUAAUCCACAACACCAAAUUUUCAGCAGACCUGCAUGUUAUAGAGAUGUCAGGGUUAGAAAUAAUCCUUGGGAUGGAUUGGUUAGCUGCUAAUGGAGUAAAAGUAGAUUGUGAACUUGAAAGUGUAUCCAUAAGAAAGUUUGAUGGCUCUAGGCUGAUAUAUUUUGGAAGUAGAACCAGACCCAACAAUCCCCUAGUAAUGACAGCAAGUGGACAAAAGAAAGAAAUAAAGGAUAUACCUGUAGUUUGUGAGUUUCCUGAUGUAUUUUCGGAUGAACUGCCGGGUAUGCCACCUGAUAGGGAGUUAGAGUUCAGCAUUGUUUUAAUGCCUGGGGCAUCACCCAUCUCCAAAAGACCCUACAAAAUGUCACAGCCAGAGUUAGUGGACCUAAAGAAACAAUUGGAUGAGCUGAAGGAAAAAGGAUUCAUUAGGGAAAGCAUGUCACCAUGGGGAGCACCAGUAUUAUUUGCAGAGAAAAAGGAUGGAGGGUUGAGACUAUGCACAGAUUUUCGAGACCUUAACAAGGUAACUGUAAAGAAUAAGUAUCCGUUACCGAGAAUAAAUGAUUUAUUUGAUCAACUCAAGGGUGCAUGUGUCUUCUCGAAAAUUGACUUGAGAUCUGGAUAUCACCAAAUGAAAGUGAAGGAAGAUAUUGAGAAGACGGCAUUUGUAUCUCGAUAUGGACACCAUGAGUACAUUGUGGUCCCAUUCGGUCUAACUAAUGCCCCAGCUAUGUUCAUGAACUUGAUGAACAAGAUUUUUAUGCAAUAUCUGGAUAAGUUUGUAGUUGUCUUUACUGAUGACAUAUUAAUAUAUUCAAGAAGCAAGGAAGAGCAUGUUGAACACCUGAGGAUAGCACUACAAUUAUUAAGGGAGAACCAGUUGUAUGCAAAAUUUAGUAAGUGUGAGUUUUGGCUGGACCAAGUAGCUUUCUUGGGGAACGUAAUUUCAAGAAGAGGAGUUGAGGUUGACCCAUCCAAAAUUGAGACAGUUGUGUCUUGGGCUCGUCCGACCAACCCAAGUGAGAUAAGGAGUUUCUUGGGCUUUGCUGGAUACUACCGCAGAUUUAUAAAAGGGUUUUCGCAGAUUACAGCACCAAUCACCAAAUUGCUUAGGAAAGAAGCUAAAUUUAUUUGGACUGAAGAGUGUGAGAGAAGUUUUGAGGAACUAAAGAAAAGGUUAACUACCGCACCGGUGUUGGCAUUACCUGAAAGUGGACAAGAUUAUGUGGUGUAUUGUGAUGCUUCAAAAUCUGGACUAGGAUGUGUUUUGAUGCAAAAUGAUAGAGUGAUAGCCUAUGCUUCUAGGCAAUUAAAGACGCAUGAAGUAAACUAUCCUACCCAUGACUUGGAGUUGGGAGCUGUUGUGUUUGCACUGAAAACAUGGAGGCACUACCUAUAUGGUUCUAAGUGCACACUGUACAGCGACCACAAGAGUCUCAAAUACAUAUUUACACAAAAAGAGUUGAACAUGAGGCAGAGGAGGUGGCUGGAACUAAUCAAGGAUUAUGAUCUGACAAUUAACUACCACCCUGGUAAGGCAAAUGUAGUGGUAGAUGCACUUAGUAGAAAGAAGCAAUGCAACCACAUAUCAAUUGAAGGGUAUGGCAAAGAGCUACUACAGGAUCUUGCAAAGAUGGGAAUAGAGCUGAGAGAGGCCACAUCUAGUGCUAAUAUAGCAGCCAUGACAUUUCACCCCACAUUGCUAGAUCAGAUUAAGGAAAAGCAAGCAACGGAUGCAUUUAUCAAGGAGGAAAUGAGAAGAAUUCAAGCGGGACAGCCUUCACAAUUCAGGUUGGACCAGGAAGGAGUUCUUUGGAACCAUAGUAGGAUCUGUGUGCCAGAUGACCUUCAGAUCAAGGAAAUUAUUUUGCAUGAAGCUCAUGACACUUUGUACACUAUCCAUCCUGGGAGCACGAAGAUGUAUAAGGAUGUGAAGGGAAAUUUUUGGUGGCCUGGUAUGAAGAGGGAAAUCACAGAAUAUGUCAGCAAGUGUGACACUUGUCAGAGGGUAAAAGCGGAGCAUCAAAGACCUGUCGGGUUACUAAAGCCAUUAGAGACACCAGAGUGGAAAUGGGAAGAUCUUUGUAUGGAUUUUAUUACUGGUUUGCCUAUGAAACCAAAGAAGAAGGAUGCCAUAUGGGUUGUGGUCGACCGACUCACUAAGUCAGCACACUUCAUUGCUACAAACCAGAAAUAUUCCUUUGAUAAGUUGGCUAAAUUGUACUUAGAGAGAAUAGUUGCCCUCCCUGGUGUGCCAAAGACCAUAACAUCUGACCGAGGUUCCGUGUUUACAUCAAGCUUUUGGAAGAGCCUAUAGAAGUCUCUUGGAACUGAGCUACACUUUAGCACGGCUUAUCAUCCGCAAACCGAUGGCCAAACUGAGCGGGUAAAUCAGAUCCGUGAGGAGAUGUUGAGAGCAUGUGUAAUGAACUUUGGAGAAACAUGGGAUAAGCAUCUGCACCUAGCAGAAUUUGCUUACAAUAAUAGUUAUCAAUCCAGCAUACAAAUGGCUCCAUAUGAGGCAUUGUAUGGGAGGAAAUGCAGAUCACCUAUAUGCUGGUAUGAAGUUGGAGAGAGACCAUUACUUGGUCCUGACAUAGUGAGAGAGAAUGAUGAGAAGAUCCAACUAAUCAAAGAACGACUCCAGAUUGCACAAAAUAGGCAGAAGAACUAUGCUGACCGGAAUAGGAGGGUUAUGCAAUUGGCAGUAGGAGACUUGGUUUAUCUAAAAGUAUCACCUAUGAGAGGGGUUCGACGCUUUGGAAUCAAAGGAAAGUUGAGUCCUAGAUAUGUUGGGCCAUUUAAAAUUUUGGAGGAGAAGGGAACAUCUGCUUAUAAGUUGGAGUUACCAGAACAUUUAUCAAGAAUUCACAAUGUCUUCCACAUAUCUCAACUUAAGAAAUGCAACAAGCCACCACCACAAGUAUCAGACUUGGAGAUUGAAUUACAACCAGACCUGACGUAUGAAGAACGACCAUUGAAGAUCUUAGAAGUUGAAGACCGCAAGCUCAGGACAAGGACCAUUCGGUUCUGCAAAGUGCAAUGGAAGAACCACUCAGUUCGUGAGGCGACUUGGGAGAAGGAGGAAGACCUACGAGUAACCUACCCCAACCUUUUUAAGUAAGUUUUCGAUUUCGAGGACGAAAUCUUUUUCUAAGGAGGGUAGGAUGUAACGACCCGUAUUUUUUUUCACAUAGUAAUUCCACCCUUAACUAGAUAAUUAAGUAGAAUCCAUUAAGCAAAUACAUAUACUAUUUAUGCAACAAGCAUCAUAACCACUCAAGUAUAUAUAUUUAUAUUCAUAAACCUUAGAUAGUAUAGCUGUAAAAGUGUAUUACAAAUCUUUGGAAAAAAAUAUAGGGAGACCAUGCUAUGCUAAGCUAUAUAGUUGGACCAACACAAAAAUAUCUCUGGGUCAACCAGAACAGCAAGACACAUGGACCACCACCCUCACGUGCACCAUAUUAAUAGUCAAUUGGUCAACAAUAUAGUCUAUGUAUGGGCUUCAACCUUCAGCCAAUUAGAAGCUAGCACCUGUGAGAACAAUGGAGAAGGGGAUGGGCAGCCAUACCCGCCAAGGGAGGUGGAUAUCAGAUAUUAGAUGGCUAGGAGAGCAGAGUAGGCAACUGCCAAGUUUCACUCGUCUCAGCUCUACCCAAAAUAGCCAGACCAAGCUCUCUUCUUCCCAGCAGCACUAGCAUUCCCCUGUCCAAAACCAACAAAGAUACAAGAACAAUAAGUGAAGAUGGUGACAUGAGAAAUCAUCAGUAAACUGAAGGGGACAGGCUAGAGCAAGAAGCUAGCCUACUGGACUGGGGUCUGGAGCACAAGAGCAGCAAGAGUAGGGCCAACAUAGAGAGCAGCAGAAGAAAGGUGAGUUCUUCCUCUUCUGCCAGUUCUUAGUACUCACAUACACAAAGAGGCCUAACCCAGAUGCACACACAAUAUUCCUCAAUGGAUUUUCACAUAUGCACAUAAAAGAUAAGCAAUCACAGUAGCAUCACAUCUCAGUUUUAGGAAAUAAAAGUAUGAGGAAGAAAGGGGAUACAGCCUCAAAUAACUCAAAUAAAUGGAUCAGGUUAUUGUACAGUAUCACUACACCAAAAUCUUGAACAGGGAGUGAUGAACUUGUUCAACACACGCAUGUGAGCCAAGUUAAUUUACUAAAUCUGAGAAGUUGAGCAUAAAAAAAUUAGGGAGAGGAACAAGGCAUACUAACCUGCACAAAUGUUUGAUCCGCUCCAUGGCCACGCACUGGAGCUCUGACCUGCACCAUCCAGCAUCACGGCGGCGCCCAACACCGGCGACUUCGAUCUGGAGCGGGGGAAUCACAUCCCCAAUAGGGUUUGACCUGCAAGUCAAGAAAAUAAAACACACAGGGGGGAUUAGAGAGUUUGUGAUAGAAAUCCAUGGAGGAAAAUUGGGGAUUAACACUAGGGAAGAAGCAGAGUUGUGGAUCCAGCAGCGGCAGCUUCCCUAUCGCCGGCGGCAUGGCCGAUAUGGCUGGAUUAGGAGCAGAGGGAUAGGAGGGAGAGGAGUCUUGUACGUGUGUUCUUGUUGGACUUGGACUAGUACCAGUCUGUAUUUUCUUCGGUUGAGAAGUACUAGUACUCCAGUGCAAAAUAGUACAGGAGAGAGAGAGAGAUUUAGAGAAAGGGAGGGCACGUGGAGGAUAAAUUAGCUUAGUAACUUACCCAGGUGCACACCUAGUACACGUACUAAUGCAAGCUUAGUAAAAAGACAUUAGAAAAAAAGUAAUAUUUGACUAUAGGAUGACCACACUACAUCGUCGUAUAUUUUUAUUUCCCUAGUAUUCACUCGACUUAGUCUCGAAAUAUAUAUUUGCCGAACUGCAGGAAGCGAGUACAGUCAGGAGAAGGAGGCGCUACAGAAGCAAAUUGAGUCCGGGUCUGAGUACGAGAACUCAGGCAAGCUCUUCUUGAUCAUGCUGAGUAGAACUAUUUAAAAAAAAUUCUAUGAUGUAUCUUAUCAUCAACUUGCAUAAAAUGUUUUUGAGAUAAGUUGUGUGGAGUGAGUGUUGGUAAAUAGUUGGGUUAGCUGAUGGAGCAGCUAAUCAAUUUUUGUAUAUAAUUAUUUGGUGGGUAGGGGGUGCCGGAAUGGUCAUAUUGGGAGGUGGGGUCCUCUACAUAUGGCUAUGAUAUUAAUAUUAAAAAAAUUCACUCGUUUUAUGCACCGUACUACAACCGUAUCAACCAUGGUCUCGUCUAAGACGAGUUGAGCCCAAUACCAUCAAGUUAUUAUACUCUCCACAUGGGUAAGUAGUAGUAGGAUGGGCGAUGAGUUCCCAUGCUAAUGCCGGAUGGGUGCAUUAGCAAGCGCUAUAUAUUAAGCGUUGGUGGAGUGCGGGUUCCGAAACCUGACACAACGGCUAGUGACCACUAGCCGGGUGGAGAUAUAAUAUACAAAUGGGAAAAAGCUUAGGUUCUAAACCAUGUCUCGCAUCUAAGGAAAUGCAUAUGGCAAUUAUGGUUUCGAGCUCUAUGGGUAAAGUGAUACAAACUCUGCAGAGUUAAAGUAAAACAUGAAUUCAUGCCAGUCUCUUGGACUGGGGAUUAUGGGGACCUAUUGGUGGUCUAUCUCGCAAUACGAGUGUUUGAUAGCUUUUAUAAAUUGAAAUAAACUUUCUGCAACAAAUGUUUAUUUUGAAAGGUGUUGAGUUGAGGUAGGACUUGUUGAUUUAUAUUGAGCUAUCAUGAGUGUUGCAUUUUGCUAUUUGAGCUUGCUGAGUACUUUGUACUCACUCUUGCUAUUAAUCAUCUCCUUCUUAGAGCAAAGCUUGUAUGAUAAUCCUGCUGGACCAAAUGAGGAGAGCAAUGGUGAUGGGUACAACUACACAGGGGACCUAGAUGUGGAUCCAUCUAGUGCUAUGUACGAUCUGGAUGCUACAUAUGGGGGUUGGGAGGAAUAACUAAUGAUCUAGCUAUGUAAUCCAGGAACCAUUCUACCACCACCUAUCUAGUACUGCUAGUUGGAACUCCAGAGUUAGGAGAUGUAAUAAUUGGGUGAACAUAUGAGAAGCCUACUUGAGACUUUUAGCCCUGCGUGGCAUGGUAUUG